GGACUACUAGGGUAUCUAAUCCUGUUUGCUCCCCUAGCUUUCGCAGCUGAGUGUCAGUAAUGGUCCAGUUACCUGCUUUCGCCAUUGGUGUUCCUCCCGAUCUCUGCGCAUUUCACCGCUACACCGGGAAUUCCAGUAACCUCUCCCAUACUCAAGUCCGAUAGUUUCUGUUGGCCUCUCCCAGUUGAGCCGGGAGCUUUCACAACAGACUUAUCGAACCACCUACCUGCCCUUUACGCCUAGUAAUUCCGAGUAACGCUUGCCACCUUCGUAUUACCGCGGCGGCUGGCAC
rnacentral:rRNA from 1 species